rnacentral:misc_RNA from 1 species
UGAUAUGGGGAUGGCGCCAAUGCCAUGGCCGCACGGUCCGAGUUCGACACGCAAAACCAGAACCGCUGAGCUUGAGGCCUCUGCACUGCUUCCCUCCCAGUCCAUCCCUUCCCUUCCCUUCCGCUUCCCCCACGCCACCCGUCUACUCCGUCGUCUUGUCGCAGGCAGCAGGUGGAAAUCUCCGCCAUUAAUAGCGCACCCCGGGGAUCCUCCUCGGCCGCAAACAAAACCCUCCUCGUCAUCCGCGGCCGCUUUUCCCCUGACCCCUGCCUCGACCAAUCCUCCCUCCCACACACAUCACACCCACAAGACAAAAAAAAGCGCCUUUGAGCGCCGCGCGACCUCUGGUGCUUGGUGUCGUCGCGACGCGUUAGUUUCAGAGCGCGCACGCGCGUUUGUGCUGUGGGGGUUGGGAAGAGCCGAAGAGCGAGGCGGCAGCGCGAUCGAGAGCGGUUCGGCGGGCGGCGGCCGAGCCGAUGGGAAGGGCACCCUGCUGCGACAAGAACAAGGGCCUCAAGAAGGGGCCCUGGACGCCGGAGGAGGACAAGCUCCUCGUCGACUACAUCCAGACCAACGGCCAUGGCAGCUGGCGCCUGCUCCCCAAGCUCGCAGGGCUGAACCGGUGCGGCAAGAGCUGCCGACUGCGGUGGACCAACUACCUCCGGCCGGACAUCAAGCGCGGGCCCUUCACAGCCGAGGAGGAGAAGUCCAUCGUCCAGCUCCACGCCAUCGUCGGCAACAAGUGGUCCAUGAUCGCGGCGCAGCUCCCAGGCCGGACGGACAACGAGAUCAAGAACUACUGGAACACGCACCUCAAGAAGCAGCUGCGCCGGAUGGGCCUCGACGAGCCCCCGCCCGGCCCGGCCGCCGGCUGCCCCGCCGCGCGCCACAUGGCGCAGUGGGAGACGGCCAGGCUCGAGGCCGAGGCGCGCCUCUCCCUCCUCGCCGCCACCGCCGCCUCCUCCGGCACCACCGCGACCACCACAGCCACCACCACCACGUCUGCAGCCUCCUCGUCCUCCACCACCGUCGCUGGCGCGGCCGACAACAAGGCCUCCAACCCCGCGGACAUCUUCCUGCGCCUGUGGAGCUCGGACAUCGGGGACUCCUUCCGCCGCAAGACGGACACGACGCCAGCGGUGCCCGCGCUUCCGGCGCCCGUCGUCAAGAGGAAGGACACGGCGAUCAAGCAGGAGCCGCGGGCGCUGCUGCUCGGCCUCAGGGACGACUCCUCGGCGGCGUCCAACGACAACGAGACGGAGGUGGCGGAGGCGCUGGAGGCGAAGUACCAGAUGUUCCUCGACUUCGCGGGCGAAGAGCUGGGAUUGUUCCAUGGCCGGCACGGCGGCUUCUCGCUGUUCCCGCCGCUCGACGUGCUCGCUGAGGCGUCCCUGGACUCGGCUUUCAAGUGAAGACGUAGCCAGCACCACGUACGUACACGGUACACAUACGUACGGGUACGGCAAGCGGCAGUAGCCAACUGGCCAUGCCUCUACGGCUUAGCUAUACGCCUCGAAAUGCGCGCAUGGAUGUAUAUAGAUAUGCGUGUGACUGCACUGGCAUAUCAGCAAUUUUUUGGGUUAGGCCAGCAAGUGCGUGGUUUAGCUUGUUAUUAUCCAGGGUUGGUUUUGGUAGGACAUCAUGGUGUAUUAUUGCCUGUAUGAGGAUUCUCUGUUCAUUGGAGAUGCUCUAAUACAUCACGAGAUGUUCUUCAAUCUUCGGUUAGAUUCUGGGACUGCUUUUUCGCA